GACGAACCGUGCAAACGUUGUUCGGAAUCACUGGGCUUAAAGGGCGCGUAGGCGGGUGGUUAAGUCAGGGGUGAAAUCCUCCAGCUCAACUGGAGAAUAGCUUUUGAUACUGGCCAUCUUGAGUGGGGUAGGGGCAUGUGGAACUUCCGGUGGAGCGGUGAAAUGCGUUGAUAUCGGAAGGAACGCCGGUGGCGAAAGCGACGUGCUGGACCCUUUCUGACGCUGAGGCGCGAAAGCCAGGGGAGCAAACGGG
rnacentral:rRNA from 1 species